UACUCCCCUUUCUUUUAUAUUUGGUUAAAGAUGAAACUUCAAAAAUUUGAGAUAAAACAAGAGUUUCAGAUUAUGUAUCGAGGUAUGAGAAGUGCGUGCCAAAUUCUGAAAUUCGAUUUCAAUUUGAGACUUUAACCUUUUCAUUGUUACAUAUUACUCCCCCUUAAGUGUAUAAUCUUUCCUAUUAUCAUUUUCAAUCUUGUUUAUCAACUUAUUUCUUUCCUUCUCCCCCUUUUUGUUAUCAUCAAAUAGGUGCAUGGCAAUAGAUAAGUAGACACAGUAAAUAAUAAACAUUCAGAUUUUACUGAUCAAACAUGGAACAUUGUAGUAUAUUAACACCAAAAAUACAAUGUUUUUCAAUCAAAGUGCAAAGUACAUGAUCAACACAAAAUACAUAUGAGAACUAGAUAAAUCCUAGGCACUAAUCAAGAUGCUAACAUCAGCCUAGGGGGUAUCUAAUGGCUGUGAUCUAGUCCUCAUCCUCCUAGCAUAAGUAGCGAGGGGAGGUCGAGCCUGAUAGGACUGAGUCUGGCAUGGACCUCGCUGAGCUGGAUGACUCUGUGCUGAUACC
rnacentral:lncRNA from 1 species